ensembl:lncRNA
CUCAGAUCUAUCAGAUCUAGGGUAGGCUACAACGUCCGCUUCCUACACUCGCAUGUUCGCAUGUCUGCGUGAGAGACCGAGCGUGUGUCCGUGUGUGUGUGUGUGCGCGUGCGCGUGUGCGUGUGCGUGUGUGUGCGCGCGCGUGUGUGUGUGUGUGUGUGUGUGUGUGUGUGUGUGUGUGUGUGUGUGUGUGUGUGUGUGUGUGUGUGUGUGUGUGUGUGUGUGUGUGUGUGUUCAGCGAGCAGGGAGUCUUAACGGGACGCAGAAGAAGAGCCGACUGCACUCAGGGUAUCCGUGGUCUGCGGACCCUUUGAGAGAAGACAUGACGUUGAAGGCGAAAAAAGCAGAUCCUCGCCCCCUCCAGAACUGCUACUUUUCCCCCUCUCCAGAAUUGGCACCUCGGAGCGAUGUGUGUCCAGUCCACUCACAUCUAUCACUGUGUCUAUGUUUCCGCAGUGAUGUUAUUGAGGUUGUAAAUUAAAGGCGCCAAACACUGGGAGGAUCUGAGAGAACAAACUUACGAUCAGAGCUUUGUCGUAACUGGUGAGAUUCUCUCUCUCUCUCUCUCUCUCUCUCUCUCUCUCUCUCUCUCUCUCUCUCUCUCUCUCUCUCUCUCUCCAUCUACAUUUCAUUCCAGCUUUUUAGAAAGAUGUGCGUGUUUUUAUUGAAACCAGACCCCUGGGAAGACAUUUUGGGGGACAUCAUGAAGAAAGUGGCGCUUUCUUUGACCCAUUCAGGACUUCUGCUUUUCCAUGUUAUAAUGGCCCUCCAAAUCUCCUUUGGCAUGUAUAUUAUUCACCAGAGGACACGUAAGAUUGAACGCUACUGCAGAAUGGCACAAAGCCGUUCUUUUUUUUAUGACUGUUUAGCUGUAUUUUCAGCAAUUAAAUGGUUGACUUGUUGACUACACAGGGAAAGCUUUUGAAGAGACUCUAGCAGCAGAGCUAGUCAGAGAGUAUGGCUCUGAAUGAGACACAAAAGAUUGGUUUUCCCUUAAACUUGUUUACCUUUCAGUAUAGCAUAAGCUAUAUGUUUUUUCCUCUUUGAAGUUUCAACAUAUAGUUAAAAUUAUUUAUUUACACAGUAUAUAAGGUAAGAACUAAGGUCCUCAGGAGCAAGUUAUGUCAAUGUCGAUGCUUCACUUUAGAAAUGCUAACUUUGCUGUGGCCCCUUUGAAUGCUCUAAAUAGCGGGGAAAUGCACCCUGGUUGCCAUGGCUAUAAGUGCGUUGAAGAGGACAUUCAAUGUGGGAGUUAUUUUUUUGAGUCUCCCGUUUUGUGACCGUUGUUUUAAACCAGCCAAAAGGCUGAUUUGUAUGGGUGUCAUUUUAUAAUCAUGAUUAAUAACUACAAUAUUUUAUGUUUUUGUUUUUUGUCUUUCGUUUCUAGACCACAGUCUAUAAUCAUUUAGUUGAAUUAUCGUAUUUUUAUACUGUUACACUUACUAUACUGUAAUGGCUUGUAUUUCAAAAAUGUUACGUUGUCGGGAAAAAAGUGUGCUGCUGCCGUGUACAACACUCCUUACACAUGCCAUUGAAUGACUUUGAAAAGUUUCUGACAUUACAUUUUACACGCCUGUGAUCCAAAGGACAGCAA